GGUGAUAUCGUCUAGUGGUUAGGACAACACGUUGUGGUUGCCAUCUUGGCUCCAUCGAUCCCGUGUAAACGCCGGUUCGAUUCCGGCUAUUGCCA